AUGAAUUGAAAAGAGUCGUGGAUCAACUUCCAGGCUCGACCCUCUUCAUUUUCCUACCCUGUGCAUUUUUUAUUACCAAAGGUGGUCCUAUCGUGCCGAAAGCUGCCUAUUAGCAGUGAUUACGUUUUAGGCUGCCGCUUUUUUACAUUUAAACUCUACAAGUUAAUGUAUGUUACAAAAACUAUAACAAAGAA
rnacentral:misc_RNA from 1 species